ensembl:lncRNA
CCCCUCUUCUGCCAUCUGUCACACAGCAGCAAAAUGUACUGCAGUAUUGGUGGGAAGGUUCAACCUCUACUGCCAUACCACCACCACCUGCCUCUGAUGUCAUUGCCCAACAUAAUAAAAUAUGAGGCAUUACUUAUGGAAGGAGAAAAGUGUAGAAGAUAGUAGAUAGUAGAUGGUUUUUCUUUGAAAAAUAUGAAGUUAUGAUUCUUAGAUGAUACCAAGGAUGAUCAACUGAAAAUAGGUAAGGAUGUAGUCUGGAUAUUGACAGUGACUACAAAGUAACUACACAUAAUUAAUCUAGAAGUAUCACUUGCUACAAAAGAAGAGAACAGUUCAGACUUCAAAUGAUGAGUUGGAGCGACUCCUGUAAACUCUUGUGCCUAGAUCUGUGCAGAAAGACAAAUGUUAACACAGGAAGCCUCCUUGCCAGGGCAACAGGCUGCACUCUGUAGAGCUUGAACACUGUGCUUACAUGAAGUUAAAGCCUCUAAGCUGAACCUGGCUUUUUGAUUUGUUUGUUUCUUUUUUAGCAGUGGUCAAAUAGGGGCUAGUAAGGUAUGCAUCAUUUUCCAAAGUAUUAAAAUAGGCAGUAAAUUAGUAGUGUUUAUGUAAGUAAUCCAGGUGACAACCAUACUCUUACAGGGGUUAAAGUCUAAAGCCAUUGGAUUUUUAAAUGCUGAACAUGUUUUAAGUGCGCUAUUGCUUCAUGCUCUCCUCUAGUAAUAAUGGAUUUGCUGAAAUGAGCAAUUACAUUUAUAAACAGAGAACCUCUCCCACAUGGAGAGAUAUACCCACAAAGUGGUGACCUUUUGGAUAACUAAUGCCAGAACUUGCACUAUAGGAAGACUUAGGAACAUCAGACAUUUGUAACUGUGGCUCUGAAGUGAUAAGGUACCUAUGAGGAAUAACGGUGUCAACAGAGAAAGUUCCUCCCUCGUCUCAGGAAUUUGAUGAAUAACUCUGACUUCAACUGUUUGCUGUUUCUUGGGCAUCCGUUAUGCAUUGAGCAGCUGCUUCUAUUGAGAUGGCCAUGACUGCUUUUAGACCUUAUGGAUCCCAGAAGGUGAACCUAUAAUCAAGUCUUUACUGGGGGCUUCUUGGCAAGGCUAUCUCCAGCCACUGUUCCUGGCCUCAUAUAAGGUGUUCUAGAAAGGGGUUCCUCCAGCCGUGCAUCAGGACAAGGAACCAAGUGCUCCAGGUUAGCAGGACUUUAAUCAAGAAAAAAAAAUCUAAUGAGCAGCAAUUUGAAAUACAGCAUUUGGAAAGGUCAAAAUGGUACAUUACAUCCCUAUUAUCCAAAAGAACAGAUGAGUUUAAUAUCCUGACAGCAUUUUCCUGUGAAGAAGAUAUUAAACAAGAACUGAAAAUGGCACAAGGUUCCCUCUUCCUUUCUUUUGACAAAGACUGUAACAAGAUGAUGAAAUUGUACAGAAUAAAUCUCAUCCUGCUUUAAUGUUCAGAUUGGGGAUCCUGCCUAGAUUUCAAAAAUCUAAGCUAAUAAAAGAGACAAAACAUAUGUUAUUUGUUUCAGGUAUAUCCACAUGAAGCAGAAGACUUUUACUAUACAUUUUCCUACUUACAUGACCCAGUUUCCAUCAAUAUUUUCUAGAUUUAAAAAUAGGAAUAAUUGGUAACAGAAG